GACAGAGGGCGCGAGCGUUGUUCGGAAUCACUGGGCGUAAAGCGCGCGCAGGCGGACCAGGCAAGUCUGGGGUGAAAUCUCGCCGCUCAACGGCGAGGCUGCUUUGGAAACUGCGGGUCUGGAGACCGGUAGAGGCUGGUAGAAUUCCAGGUGUAGCGGUGAAAUGCGUAGAUAUCUGGAGGAACACCGGUGGCGAAGGCGGCGUCCUGGACCAAUACUGACGCUGAAACGCGAAAGCCAGGGGAGCAAACGGG
rnacentral:rRNA from 1 species